UGCGGCUUAAUUUGACUCAACACGGGGAAGCUUACCCGGUCCGGACACUUUGACGAUUGACAGAUUGAGAGCUCUUUCUUGAUAAAGUGGUUGGUGGUGCAUGGCCGUUCUUAGUUCGUGGAGUGAUUUGUCUGGUUAAUUCCGAUAACGAACGAGACUCUAGCUUACUAAAUAGUCCGUGCGGCUGCGGCCGACACGGUGUUACUUCUUAGAAGGAUUUAUGGCGGUUCAGUCAUAAGAAAGAGAGCAAUAACAGGUCUGUGAUGCCCUUAGAUGUCCGGGGCCGCACGCGCGCUACACUGGAGCCCACAGUGAGCGUGCUACUUGCGUCGAAAGGCGUGAGGAAUCUCGUAAGCUUCUCCGUAUCUGGGAUUGCGGCAUGUAAUUGUGCCGCGUGAACGCGGAAUCCCGAGUAAGUGCCAAUCAUCAUUUCGCAUUGAUUACGUCCCUGCCCUUUGUACACACCGCCCGUCGCUACUACCGAUUGACUCGUCCAGUGAGGCAUCGGGACGGGCGCGGUGAGCUGUCUUCGGAUGGCGCGCCGUGCCUGAAACUUUGCCAAACUGUCCGAGUUAGAGGAAGUAAAAGUCGUAACAAGGUUUCCGUAGGUGAACCUGCGGAAGGAUC
rnacentral:rRNA from 1 species